GGAGAGGUGUCCGAGUGGUCGAAGGAGACGGUCUUGAAAACCGUUGAGCCCGCGCGGCUCCGUGGGUUCGAAUCCCACCCUCUCCG
rnacentral:tRNA from 1 species